rnacentral:sRNA from 1 species
CCUGGAGUGGCAGUGCACGCCUGUAAUCCCAACAACUUGGAAGGGUGAGGCAGGAGAAUUGCAAGAUCAAGGGCAGCCUCAAGCAACUUAGCAAGACCCUGUUUCUA